rnacentral:rRNA from 1 species
GACGAACGCUGGCGGCGUGCUUAACACAUGCAAGUCGAACGGAAAGGCCUCAGCUUGCUGGGGUACUCGAGUGGCGAACGGGUGAGUAACACGUGGGUGAUCUGCCUUGCACUCUGGGAUAAGCUUGGGAAACUGGGUCUAAUACCGGAUAUGAACUGCCUUUAGUGUGGUGGUUGGAAAGUUUUUUCGGUGCAAGAUGAGCUCGCGGCCUAUCAGCUUGUUGGUGGGGUAAUGGCCUACCAAGGCGUCGACGGGUAGCCGGCCUGAGAGGGUGUACGGCCACAUUGGGACUGAGAUACGGCCCAGACUCCUACGGGAGGCAGCAGUGGGGAAUAUUGCACAAUGGGCGGAAGCCUGAUGCAGCGACGCCGCGUGGGGGAUGACGGCCUUCGGGUUGAAAACUCCUUUCGACAGGGACGAAGCUUUUUGUGACGGUACCUGUAUAAGAAGCACCGGCUAACUACGUG